rnacentral:rRNA from 1 species
UAUCACUAAGCGGAGGAAAAGAAACUAACCAGGAUUCCCCUAGUAACGGCGAGUGAAGAGGGAAGAGCCCAGCACCGAAGCCUGCGGCAGGUUUGCUGUUAGGCAAUGUGGUGUUUGGGUCGGCUCGCGGGAUUGCCACUCCACUCGAAGUCCAGCAUUGAGUAUGGUUUCUGGAUUUGGCCCAGAGAGGGUGAAAGGCCCGUACGGGUGGAGGUAUCAGACAAGUGAGGCAUUCACUAGGCCGGCCUUAGAGUCGGGUUGUUUGGGAAUGCAGCCCAAAGCGGGUGGUAAACUCCAUCCAAGGCUAAAUACUAGCACGAGUCCGAUAGCAAACAAGUACCGUGAGGGAAAGUUGAAAAGUACUUUGAAGAGAGAGUAAACAGUACGUGAAACCGCAUGCAGGUAAACGGGUGGCGUCAAGCUGCACGCCCAGAGGAUUCAGCCGGUUAGAGUGUAUCUAUGCGCUUGCGUAUAAAUGGGCCAGAGUAAGGCGUGGUAGUCCGCUGGCAGACAGCGGGCCCUGCCGCAAGGUGGGGAUGUGCAAGCCGGGUGGAUGCCGGAGCACGCUAUCCGUCUGUGGGGCCGUCUAGCCGGUGCACUUUCUCUGUGGUGGACACCACGACCGGUGGAACUGCCAGUCUGCUGUGGCCAAGUCGUGUUCGGUUGGUCCUUGUGGCGAACUGGGCGCGAUCACGGGCAACCUUGGUGAACGGCGUUGAUGUGCCCUCGGGUAUGUCUUCGUGUUAUCGGUAGCCAGUUGUCUUAACGGGCCUGCCUUGCGAUUGUUCUAGCCGUCGUAGGGUGGUCUGGUGGGCCAUGGUGGUAAGAAUAACUGUGCAGGGCACCGGAGUGUUCGGCCUCAAAUGCAGCCAGCAUGCACGCUAGUAGUGUUGCGAUGUGGGUGCUCUCGUGGUCUGCCUGGUGCCGGGUCUGAUUGUCGUGUUGCCUGCGCAAAGUGGGUUCGGCAGUGGCUCGGUUCAGGGUGGGCUUGCGUUGGGUGCUUGCAGUGUUGGUUGUAGUGGGCCUGAUAGUCUGUGGUGUAGUGGUAGACGAGCUACCCGACCCGUCUUGAAACACGGACCAAGGAGUUUAACAUGUAUGCAAGUCACUGGGUCCUACGAAACCCAAAGGCGCAAUGAAAGUAAAGCCUCGGAUCAUUCGUGGUCCGGGGUGAGGUGAGAUCCCGCCGUGUCUCCGCCAGCCUAUUCGGUCAGAAGCAGGCAUACCGCGCGGUGGGCGCAUCACCGGCCCGUCCCAUGAUGUGGUCAUUGGAAAAGGCUGUGCUUGGCUUCGGUCGGUCGCAGUACUCCCAGUGCGUCAUCGGGGCGGAGCAUGAGCAUACACGUUGAGACCCGAAAGAUGGUGAACUAUGCUUGCGUAGGUUGAAGCCAGAGGAAACUCUGGUGGAGGACCGCAGCGAUUCUGACGUGCAAAUCGAUCGUCAAACGUGAGUAUAGGGGCGAAAGACUAAUCGAACCAUCUAGUAGCUGGUUCCCUCCGAAGUUUCCCUCAGGAUAGCUGGCGCUCAUUCGCAAGAUCAGUUUUAUCCGGUAAAGCGAAUGAUUAGAGGUACUGGGUUCGAAACGAGCUCAACCUAUUCUCAAACUUUAAAUGGGUGAGAUGCCCGACUCGCCUAAUAGGAGUCGGGCGUUGAAUGUGCGAGUGCCAAGUGGGCCAUUUUUGGUAAGCAGAACUGGCGCUGUGGGAUGAACCAAACGCUCGGUUAAGGUGCCUAAUGCUGACGCUCAUGAGAUACCACAAAAGGUGUUGGUUAAUAUAGACAGCAGGACGGUGGCCAUGGAAGUCGGCAUCCGCUAAGGAGUGUGUAACAACUCACCUGCCGAAUUGACCAGCCCUGAAAAUGGAUGGCGCUGGAGCGUCGAACCUAUACCGGGCCGUCAUUGCAAGCUGGGCGUCUGACGUAUAUGUAUGGUGUGAGCGGCAGAUGGCUGAUUGUCCUAAUCGGUCGCCGUACGGAAGGCCUAGCCCAGGCAUGGAGUGCGAUGACGAGUAGGAGGGUCGCCGUGGUGAGCGUGGAAGCUUCGGGCGUGAGCCCAGGUGGAGCCGCCACGGGUGCAGAUCUUGGUGGUAGUAGCAAAUAUUCAAGUGAGAACCUUGAAGGCCGAGGUGGAGAAGGGUUCCAUGGGAACAGCAGUUGACCAUGGGUCAGGCGGUCCUAAGCGAUCCGGUGACUCGGUACAGAGACGCGGGGUGCCUUCUAUGUGUGUGCAUAUGUGUGUGUGUCUUAUGCUGGCAGCCCCCCGGAGCGAAAGGGAAUCGGGUUAAUAUUCUCGACCCUGCCUACGGAAAUAGACAGCGUCUGGCUGGGCUGCGCAAGUGGUCCAUGUCUGGGCGUUGUCAAGCGCGGUAACGCAAACGAACUCGGAGACGUCGGCGUGAGUUCCGGGAAGAGUUUUCUUUUCUUUGUAAGGAUGGCUACCACCCCUGGAAUCGGGUUGUCCGGAGAUAGGGGUAUCGCCUCCGUAAAGCACCACCCCUC